rnacentral:rRNA from 1 species
CUGUGUCCUUCGACGCCGGUUCACCGCCUGUCGGUGCCAACUGGCGUUUUGCGGGACGUCCUGUCGGUGGUGCGUCAGGAAUCUUAGUUGUGCUAUGCUCUGCUUAGUGCAGCUCUGGUUUCGGGCCACUUUCAUAAUCGCGCCGCGGUGCUCUUAAUCGAGUGUCGAGGCGGGCCGGCACGUUUACUUUGAACAAAUUAGAGUGCUUCAAGCAGGCUUGUCACGCCUGUAUACUGUGUGCAUGGAAUAAUGGAAUAGGACCUCGGUUCUAUUUUGUUGGUUUCCGGAAUCUGAGGUAAUGAUCAAUGGGGACAGGCGGGGGCAUUCGUAUUGCGACGUUAGAGGUGAAAUUCUUGGAUCGUCGCAAGACGGACCGAAGCGAAAGCAUUUGCCAAGUAUGUUCCCGUCGAUCAAGAACGAAAGUUAGAGGUUCGAAGGCGAUCAGAUACCGCCCUAGUUCUAACCAUAAACAAUGCCUGCCAGCGAUCCGCCGGCGUCCCUCCGAUGACCCGGCGGGCAGCUUCCGGGAAACCAGAGCUUUUGGGUUCCGGGGGAAGUAUGGUUGCAAAGCUGAAACUUAAAGGAAUUGACGGAAGGGCACCACCAGGAGUGGAGCCUGCGGCUUAAUUUGACUCAACACGGGAAAACUCACCAGGCCCGGACACCGGAAGGAUUGACAGAUUGAUAGCUCUUUCUUGAUUCGGUGGGUGGUGGUGCAUGGCCGUUCUUAGUUGGUGGAGCGAUUUGUCUGGUUAAUUCCGAUAACGAACGAGACUCUAGCCUACUAACUAGACGUAUCUGGUAUCAGCAAUCGUGCUACCAGCGAUCAUAUCUCUUCUUAGAGGGACAGGCGGCUUCUAGCCGCACGAGACUGAGCAAUAACAGGUCUGUGAUGCCCUUAGAUGUCCUGGGCCGCACGCGCGCUACACUGAAGGAAUCAGCGUGUCUUCCCUGUCCGAAAGGACCGGGUAACCCGCUGAACCUCCUUCGUGCUUGGGAUUGGGGCUUGCAAUUGUUCCCCAUGAACGAGGAAUUCCCAGUAAGCGCGAGUCAUAAGCUCGCGUUGAUUACGUCCCUGCCCUUUGUACACACCGCCCGUCGCUACUACCGAUUGAAUGAUUUAGUGAGGUCUUCGGACCGGUGCGCGGAGGCGGUUUUCCGCUCCCGAUGUUGUCGGAAAGAUGACCAAACUUGAUCAUU